AGGGGCCGUCGUCUAGCCUGGCUAGGAUGCCGGCCUGGGGAGCGCCGGUGGUCCCGGGUUCAAAUCCCGGCGGCCCC
rnacentral:tRNA from 1 species